AUUGAACGCUGGCGGCAGGCCUAACACAUGCAAGUCGAGCGGAUGAAGGGAGCUUGCUCCUGGUUUCAGCGGCGGACGGGUGAGUAAUGCCUAGGAAUCUGCCUGGUAGUGGGGGAUAACGUCCGGAAACGGGCGCUAAUACCGCAUACGUCCUGAGGGAGAAAGUGGGGGAUCUUCGGACCUCACGCUCUCAGAUGAGCCUAGGUCGGAUUAGCUAGUUGGUGGGGUAAAGGCCUACCAAGGCGACGAUCCGUAACUGGUCUGAGAGGAUGAUCAGUCACACUGGAACUGAGACACGGUCCAGACUCCUACGGGAGGCAGCAGUGGGGAAUAUUGGGCAAUGGGCGAAAGCCUGAUCCAGCCAUGCCGCGUGUGUGAAGAAGGUCUUCGGAUUGUAAAGCACUUUAAGUUGGGAGGAAGGGCAGUAAGUUAAUACCUUGCUGUUUUGACGUUACCAACAGAAUAAGCACCGGCUAACUUCGUG
rnacentral:rRNA from 1 species